CAGUGUUAACAGUUCUUUUAGAAUUUGUCAAGCAGUCUUUCUGGUUUUUGCCGGAAAGCCCCU
rnacentral:snRNA from 1 species